GUUAAAAGCCUCCCAGUUAGUCAGGCGGGUGUGCAUGUCAGGAGCUGUGAGAAGUUGUGCUGUUGGAGAGACUGAGCUGUCCACACCAUAUCAGGCACAAGGAAGAAGGCCCUGAGGACACAAAAGCAGCUGCUGAAGAAACCGCUUCGGAGUGAGAGUAAGAGAACCAAGGGCAGCACCGCUAAGCAACCUCCAGUAGAGAGAGAGACGGAUAACCGUGCUCAGAUAGCCAAAGGAGCUUCUGUAAGAGACAAAAACACCAGUUUGGCUCUCCUCAGCUUUAUUCCGACCUCCAGACCCCCAGUGACUAAAAUAUGCCCAGGGUGGUGUGGAGAGGACCUGUACCUACUUGGAACUUUAUUGAAAAUGUUAGUUAAUGGAGUAAAAAUUCCAGUGCAUAAAGACUUCAGAAAUGUCUAUAGCUGGCUCGAUAACCCAUGCAAUGCAUCAAACUGCCUCUUGUAAAUAGUGGCAGAAAGCCUAAUGUGCACAGACUGAUGCUUGCUACUUAGUUUUUGAGUCUGUCUUUAAAUAUAUUUAAUUCUAAUAAUUUGUAAUAGGAGCUUUAUGCUGGAAGAUCC